CCUACGGGAGGCAGCAGUGGGGAAUAUUGCACAAUGGGGGAAACCCUGAUGCAGCGACGCCGCGUGAGUGAAGAAGUAUCUCGGUAUGGAAAGCUCUAUCAGCAGGGGAGAAAAUGACGGUACCUGAUUAAGAAGCCACGGCUAACUACGUGCCAGCAGCCGCGGUAAGACAGAGGGGGCAAGCGUUAUCCGGAUUUACUGGGGGUAAAGGGAACGUAGACGGGAGCUAAAGUCUGGAGGGAAAUGUGGGGGCUGAACCACGGGAGUGCGGUGGAAACUGUGGACGUAGAGUGCAGGGGAGGUAGGGGGAAUUCGGGGUGUAGCGGUGAAAUGCGUAGAUAUUAGGAAGAACACCGGUGGCGAAGGCAGCUUACUGGAGUGUAACUGACGUUGAGGCUCGAAAGCGUGGGGAGCGAACAGGAUUAGAUACCCGAGUAGUC
rnacentral:rRNA from 1 species